CAUAGGCGCAGUGCAGUGUUUUCUUGUAGUGUUCCGGUCGUUCCACCUCUCCGUCGUGCGUGGCAGAUCCUUCCGUAAUAUCGAGACAGUCGUCUGCACAUACACACGUUCAGUUUCAUUUUAAAGAUUUAGAGAUUACCGUAAUGGCUACAGGCACCGUUAAGUGGUUCAGUGACGAAAAAGGCUUUGGAUUCAUCGCUCCUUCCGAUGGUUCAAAGGACGUCUUCGUCCAUCACAGCGCCGUCCAGGGCAGUGGCUUCAAGUCGCUGGCCGAGGGGCAAAGCGUGUCCUACGACGUCGAGCAAGGUCAGAAAGGCCCGAGCGCGACCAACGUCGUCCCCCAGUAAUCCUGGGCGUCAGGUGCUCGUCACCUGACCAAAAAAGCCCCGCCACUUGGCGGGGCUUUUUCA
rnacentral:sRNA from 1 species